CUUUCUGAAUCACAAAAACCCUAAAAAAAUCCAAUUUUUUUGGAUCGAAUCUGCAAAGGAUAGAAAAUGGAGAGAAUCGUUGGAGAAAAGUACAAAUUAGGUCGCAAAAUUGGUAGCGGAUCCUUCGGUGAAAUCUUUCUUGCUACACAUGUGGAUACUCAUGAAAUCGUUGCUGUUAAAAUGGAGAAUAGGCAGACUAAGCACCCACAAUUGCUUUAUGAGGCUAAGCUAUAUAAUUAUCUCCAAGGAGUUGUUGGUGUAGCUAGGAUACAUUGGUCCGGGGUAGAUGAUCAGGACAAUGUGCUUGUCCUUGAUCUUCUUGGGCCGAGUCUCGAGGAUUUAUUUGUGUAUUGUGGAAGGAAGUUCUCGUUGAAGACUGUUCUUAUGUUAGCCGAUCAAAUGCUUACGAGAAUUGAACUUAUGCAUGCGAAAGGAUUUCUGCAUAGAGACUUGAAACCAGAUAAUUUUCUAAUGGGUCUUGGCAGGAAAGCAAAUCAAGUCUACGUCAUUGAUUUUGGACUUGCUAAAAGAUAUCGUGACCCCACUACAAGUUGCCAUAUUCCUUACAAAGCAAACAAAAACUUGACUGGGACUGCUCGCUAUGCCAGCUGCAAUACACAUUUGGGAAUUGAACAAAGUCGGCGUGAUGACUUGGAGUCACUUGGCUACGUUUUUUUAUACUUUUUGAGAGGGAGUCUGCCAUGGCAGGGCCUUAAAGGUGCAACAAAGAAGCAAAAAUAUGACAAAAUAUGUGAAAAGAAGGUAUCAACUCCCAUCGAGGUAUUAUGCAAGUUUCAUCAUGUGGAGUUUGCUUCUUACUUCCAAUACUGCCGAUCUUUGACAUUUGAGCAAAGACCUGAUUAUGGAUUCUUGAAGCGUCUUUUUCGUGACUUGUUUAUACGGGAAGGAUAUGAUUUUGAUUAUGUGUUCGAUUGGACACUUUUAAAAAACCAGCAAUCGGAGAAGACAAAGCCACAGAUUCAAUCAACUAGCCGACCAGUUCCUGGAGUGAGUAAUAGAGCAAUGCUGGCACAUUCAAAUAAGCGUCAAGGGGGUAAUGAUGAUUCCUACCAAGUUGGAGCAACAGAGCGAAGAAGAUCAAACAAUUUGGUACGUCCCGGCAUGCAUUAUAAAUCAAGGCCACCAUACGAACUCAAUGAUAAUACUUCACCUGGAAAACAUAUGAUAAGUAAUGCACCAAAAGUUUCCACUUCAUUCUCUAUGGGUGGCACUCAUAAAGCACCUGUUGUGAAGCCAGAUGAGCCACUGGAUAACAUGACAGUUGACCAUGGUCUUGACAGAAAAGCUGCGGGUGGUUCAGGUAGUUGGAUGCGAUCCUUGCACCGUGUUUCUUCAGCGAAGUAAUGGUAGCAGGAAGUUUACUUCAGUCAGAAGAUGGUAAUCAUACCAAAGGUUUCAAUCAAUUAAUCACCCAGCAGUUCGAUUGUUAGAAUAUUUUGGAGGUGAUUUACAGUAAUUGCUUGGAUGCUUCUGCUCAUGGUCGGACAUGUAAUUUCUUAAGUUUUAACAUAGGUACCAGAGUUCUUCCGAAUGUGUAUGCCAUGACUUGUUCAGGUUCUAUUAUAAAAGGAUUUUCUAGUACAUUGACACUUGUCAUGAUUACGGGUUGGAGUUUUAGUCCUUGGAUGUUCCAAGGUCAAUGGGGUAUGUAGUCAUGAUGCACCAAGAUGGUGAAUUUGGUAUGUGUAGUGUGAAAGACGUUCUUGUUUUAGAGACUGAGAUAAGAGUUGUUGGUUGAACGUAGUGUUGGUCAAUUGGGUGGAUCGGAGACAGGUUUGGGGUAGGUUGACCUGCAACACCGUAUAUCCGAUUUCCGUGAAGGUUGCACCCAUUCAUUGCUCCGAAGACAGAAGUGAAGAGAAGUUGAGUGGUUUUUUAAUUGUAUACUGUGUUUUCCAGGGACACACAAGGAGAAGUCAGAAUGAAGAUCUCCCACUGCUGCCUUUACCCCUGAGUCAAUCAAACUAUAAUGAUUGUUAAGGGUUGCAUAUAAUAGUCUCUGGUUUCUGCCAUCUUUUAAAGCAUGAUACCAGGCCUGUAUAUCAUUUUCAUCUAUAUCAAGUAUGCUACAAGAAAGCCAAUAGGCAUUGGAAGGUAAUGACUAGAUCAACCUUGGCUCAAUUAUGGGAAUACCUGGCAUAAUUCAUAAGCUCAUGAAGCCUACCACAUGAAUCAUUUUAGAGAGAAUAAGUAAAGAUUAAGCGGGUGAUACUUCGCUACUAGUAUGAUUUGUUAAGCUGUUAGCUUCUAUGUAGAUCAAUAGUGCUUAUGAUCUGGUUUGUUCGACAUGUACAUAUGUUUACUAUGUUUGUGGAUAGUAAAUCUGCAUGUGUUGCUCUCUUGUAAUACAAGGGUCAAGAUGCUUCCAACUUUACUAGUAAAGUUGAAAGCAACUUCAGAGUGUCCCUAUCCUUCUUGCAUAGCCUCUACUCUCGCCCAGUCUUCAAUUAUUCUCAAAUGUAAGCAAUUGACAUGCCUCUAUCUGUGCAUUUAUUGUGCACCAUUAUUGUCCAAACGAAAUAACUUAGUGUUGUCGAAAAUGUAGCCAUAAAAUUGGCAGUUUCAAAUCUUAGGGAGAGUGAGCUUCUUGUAAAUUUUACUUGAGGUAUUAA